CCUACGGGAGGCAGCAGUGAGGAGUAUUGGUCAAUGGGCGCGAGCCUGAACCAGCCAAGUAGCGUGAAGGAUGAAUGCCCUACGGGUUGUAAACUUCUUUUAUAAAGGAAUAAAGUGAGGCACGUGUGCCUUUUUGUAUGUACUUUAUGAAUAAGGAUCGGCUAACUCCGUGCCAGCAGCCGCGGUAAUACGGAGGAUCCGAGCGUUAUCCGGAUUUAUUGGGUUUAAAGGGAGCGUAGGUGGGUUGUUAAGUCAGUUGUGAAAGGUUGCGGCUCAACCGUAAAAUUGCAGUUGAUACUGGGAGACUUGAGUACAGUUGAGGUAGGCGGAAUUCGUGGUGUAGCGGUGAAAUGCUGAGAUAUCACGAAGAACUCCGAUUGCGAAGGCAGCUUACUAAACUGCAACUGACAUUGAUGCUCGAAAGCGUGGGUAUCAAACAGGAUUAGAUACCCUAGUAGUC
rnacentral:rRNA from 1 species